GGGUCCAGAUAGGGGGCGCCCCUUCUCCACCUCUUCCCCCGCCCAGGGCCAGAAGGAGGGAAACGAAAUUAAAAUUAACAUUUCUUCUCAGGAAAAAAAAAAAAGUACCACGCCAGAGCAGGAGCCUAGGCAGCCGAGAGGGUGCCCGAACCUGAGUCUGAGUUGCGGCCACUUCAGGAGCUGAGAGGAGCAGGAUGGAACUGCAGGAUCCAAAGAUGAAUGGAGCCCUCCCUUCGGAUGCUGUGGGCUACAGGCAAGAACGUGAGGGCUUCCUGCCCAGUCGUGGUCCUGCUCCUGGGAGCAAGCCGGUCCAGUUCAUGGAUUUCGAGGGGAAGACAUCGUUUGGAAUGUCAGUGUUCAACCUCAGCAACGCCAUCAUGGGCAGCGGCAUCCUGGGGCUGGCCUAUGCCAUGGCCCACACGGGGGUCAUCUUCUUCCUGGCCCUGCUGCUGUGCAUUGCGCUUCUGUCGUCCUACUCCAUCCACCUCCUGCUGACCUGUGCUGGUAUUGCAGGCAUCCGAGCCUAUGAGCAGCUGGGACAGAGGGCAUUCGGGCCUGCGGGGAAGGUAGUGGUGGCCACAGUCAUCUGUCUGCACAAUGUUGGGGCCAUGUCCAGUUACCUGUUCAUCAUCAAAUCUGAGCUCCCCCUGGUUAUCGGCACCUUCCUGUACAUGGACCCCGAGGGGGACUGGUUCUUGAAGGGAAACCUCCUCAUCAUCAUUGUCAGUGUGUUAAUCAUCCUGCCCCUGGCCCUCAUGAAACACUUGGGCUACCUGGGGUACACCAGUGGUCUCUCUCUGACCUGCAUGCUGUUUUUCCUUGUUUCGGUCAUCUACAAGAAGUUCCAACUUGGCUGUGCUAUAGGCCGCAAUGAAACAGCAAUGGAGAGUGAAGCUCUCGUGGGACUCCCUAGCCAAGGACUCAACAGCAGCUGUGAGGCCCAGAUGUUCACAGUUGACUCACAGAUGUCCUACACAGUGCCCAUUAUGGCUUUUGCUUUUGUCUGCCACCCUGAGGUGCUGCCCAUCUAUACGGAGCUCUGCCGGCCCUCCAAGCGCAGGAUGCAGGCCGUGGCCAACGUGUCCAUUGGGGCCAUGUUCUGCAUGUAUGGGCUCACAGCAACCUUUGGAUACCUCACCUUCUACAGCAGUGUGAAGGCGGAGAUGCUGCACAUGUACAGCCAGAAGGACCCGCUCAUCCUCUGUGUGCGCCUGGCCGUGCUGCUUGCGGUGACCCUCACUGUGCCAGUCGUGCUGUUCCCUAUCCGCCGGGCCCUGCAGCAGCUGCUUUUCCCAGGCAAGGCCUUCAGCUGGCCACGACAUGUGGCCAUAGCUCUGAUCCUGCUUGUUUUGGUCAAUGUCCUUGUCAUCUGUGUGCCAACCAUCCGGGAUAUCUUUGGAGUUAUCGGGUCCACCUCAGCCCCCAGCCUCAUCUUCAUCCUCCCCAGCAUCUUCUACCUCCGCAUCGUACCCUCUGAGGUGGAGCCUUUCUUAUCCUGGCCCAAGAUCCAGGUAAGCAUUCCAGGGCAGAGCUAGGGAGAGCGGGAGCACUCCAAGGAGGGAGUGCUCACUCCAGGAUGGCUGGAGGUGAAAGGGACAUGCAUAGGAGGGGGCUGGGAGAGCAUCUGAAAGAAUGGUCUGGAAGAAUGAAGGUGAUUGUCUUAGGAAGGGGCAGAGGAGACAGAGCACCAGCAGGGUCCAGGAAGACAGGGAGCACUCAAACAGAGGCUGGCAUAGAGGGAGCAUUCUCCAGACAGAUGGAAAGAGCACUAUUGGGAAGAGAGCUGGAAGCACUUUGAAGAAGGAGGAUGGAGGAACGUAUUCUGUCAUGGGUCCUGGGAAGGUGGAAGGACUCGCAGAAAGGGGCUGGCUGUAAGGAAGGAGAGGGCACACAGAGGAGGGUCAGGAAUGGAUGGAGCACUCUCUGAAGGAGGUGGAAGACUUGAGGAACAUUCUCAGAAGGCAACUGGGGAUGCCAAGCUUGGAUCAUGGCCCUAAUCCCAACCCCAACCCCAUGGGAGGAGGAGGAGGAGGAAGAAGAGGAGGAGGAGGAGGAGGAGGAGGAGGAGGCGGCGGCGGCGGCGGCGGCCAGGUCCUGGUGGAGCCUUUGCCCAGCCCAGUCCUCUCUGCCUCCUCCUGGCUGAAGCUGUUUGUCAGGAUUACCCUCGGGCUAAAGAGGAAAAAUAAAGAUGUUGAGCUACCA